rnacentral:sRNA from 1 species
GCUGGGCAUAGUGGUGCAUGCCUAUAAUCCUAGUGACUCAGGAGACUGGAGCAGGAGGAUUGUUUGAAGCCAGCCUCAGCAACUUAGCAAGAUCCUGUCUCAA